UCAUGGCUCAGGAUGAACGCUAGCGGCAGGCUUAACACAUGCAAGUCGAGGGGCAGCGCGGGGCAGCAAUGUUCUGGCGGCGACCGGCGGAAGGGUGCGUAACGCGUGAGCGACAUGCCCGUUGCCCGGGGACAACCGGUGGAAACGCCGACUAAUCCCCGAUGGGACGGAGGCCCUCAUGGGUCUCCGUUGAAGGUUACGGCGGCGACGGAUUGGCUCGCGUCCGAUUAGCUUGUUGGCGGGGUAACGGCCCACCAAGGCUACGAUCGGUAGGGGUUCUGAGAGGAAGGUCCCCCACAAUGGAACUGAGACACGGUCCAUACUCCUACGGGAGGCAGCAGUGAGGAAUAUUGGUCAAUGGGCGGAAGCCUGAACCAGCCAUGCCGCGUGCGGGAAGGAGGCCCUAUGGGCUGUGAACCGCUUUUGCCUGGGGGCAAUAAGGGCGUCGUGCACGUCCGAUGAGAGUACCAGGCGAAUAAGCAUCGGCUAACUCCGUGCCAGCAGCCGCGGUAAUACGGGGGAUGCGAGCGUUAUCCGGAUUCAUUGGGUUUAAAGGGUGCGUAGGCUGUGCGUCAAGUCAGGGGUGAAAUUCCGGGGCUCAACUCCGGGGCUGCCCUUGAUACUGUCGCGCUGGAGUGCGGAUGCCGCCGGAGGAAUGAGUGGUGUAGCGGUGAAAUGCUUAGAUAUCACUCAGAACACCGAUUGCGAAGGCAUCUGGCGAAUCCGUAACUGACGCUGAGGCACGAAAGCGUGGGGAUAGAACAGGAUUAGAUACCCUGGUAUUCCACGCCGUAAACGAUGAUGGCUAACCGCCGGCGACACACUGUCGGUGG
rnacentral:rRNA from 1 species